rnacentral:rRNA from 1 species
UGUAAGCGUAUACCAAAGUUGUUGCAGUUAAAACGCUCGUAGUCGGAAUUUGGCAGUUCCGGAAGUGUGCACGUCGUGUGCGCACUUUGCGGGGACUGCUUUUGUGGUCUUGCGUAGGAUGAGGCACUUUCAUUAGUGAACGUCCUCACGCAACCACUCUUUACUGUGAGAAAAUCAGAGUGCUCAAAGCAGGCAUUUGCCGUGAAUGUAUUAGCAUGGAAUAAUAGAAUAGGACUCGGUUCUAUUUUGUUGGUUUGUUGGGACUGAGUAAUGAUUAAGAGGGACAGUUGGAGGCAUUUGUAUUCCGGCGCUAGAGGUGAAAUUCUUAGAUUGCCGGAAGACAAACUGCUGCGAAAGCGUCUGCCAAGGAUGUUUUCAUUGA